GCAGCCUGUCGUCGUCGAACCGAGACACGCCGAGCCCUCCACCGGGAAGCUCGUCGAGGGCGCCCGACCCGCACCUACUGCGCAAGAACCACGACGUCAACACAGUGACCAUCGUGCAGACGACGGACACGUCGCAGGUCAUCAACCAGGACACUGUGAUUGUGUCAGUGUCCGGACACAACGCGCGCACGCUGGUGCUGCCCUCAGGACACUCUGAGGUGCAGGUGACUCUCGCGCACGUCUGACACGCGGCCACUCGGCGCCCUUCGCCGCCGCCAGACGCCUCGACGUCGUAUGCCUGCGCCGGCAGGCACUGCGGCUGCCGGCGCCCGCACGUCGCCCAGGACGACAGGCGGCGGCGGCGCCGUGCAAGAGACGGCGACGGCAUGCCGAUAUGCCACGACUUUCUGCAGACUCCUGGCUACUCCUUGUGGAGACUGCAUGAACAGGGCAUCUAAAGACUGUCUCCUUUUGAUCUGCCAGUCAACCUUCGAACAUCCAGAUUCCUGAGCUGACAGCCUUGUGAAUAUGUGCAUAGAGACAGUGAUGAGACCGUGUGCAGAAAACAGACUGUGAAUCAGCCUACACUGUGUUGAAUGUGCGUGUAUAGUCUAUCAUCUGAAAUGUGUGCGUGGACGUAGGUAUUCAUCAGUGCUUAUUCCUGAACGUUUGCUCGUUAUCUAAUGUUGCCAUGUUGCCAGCACACUGCUGGGCCAAUGAUGUGUGAAUGAUUGGUGUUUUCCCAAUGUUUGUUUAUGAACUUCUGAGUGAGAGAGAAGGGUUGCAGUCUACUACAAAUUAGGUUCGAGUUUAGUUUUGCUGCCUUCUUUAGAACAGUCAAGUAUACAGUCGAGCUGACUUGCGAGUUGCGUCAUGGUCACACAAGGCACAGCUCAUUAUAAUUUAACAAAGUGUGUGAACAAGCAAGAAUAAGCUCAAGAAACUGCAAGAACAUUUAUUGCUUCCCAACCACUGACCUUGUUUCACUUCAGUGCUAACCUGACAAUGAUGGCUUCCAAAUUUUUUGAAGCAGUGACACAAUGCACUCUGCCAUGGUUGCCGUGGCAGAGUGGUUUCACAGUUUCCUGGCUUUCUUUAUCAAUUCAGUGCUGAUGAAGCCUCACGUUUCAUGAACGAUGCUCUAGUGCAUGCAUGAUUGAUGAAUAUAAAUUACAUCGGCAAAAUUUGAUUGCUUUAACAAUGUACGACCAUAAAUGUGUGUUCUAAUCGUUCAGCAAAGCUUGAACGUGGGCUAGUUGAUAUGGCAUUAUAAGGUUGUCGCACUAAGCAAAAUGUGCGGAGGACUAACAAAAAAAAAGGGAACAGGAGAGUUGAAAGCUUGUGCGCCAUUUGUCCUGUCCCCUUUUUUGUUAGUUCUUCACGCAUUUUGCUCAGCGCAACAACCUUAGAGUGCUAAUCAUCAAUGCUUCCGAGCUCUAUUGCUUCACUCAUGUGCUAUGCAGGAAUGUGGCCUCACAAAAACCAUCCUCGAUGAAAUGUGCACUAAGCUUCGUCGAAGCAUCCUUUUGACGUUUUAAAAAUUCGUGAACACGGGGUGUUGCUGGAGCCGACGUUUCGACAAGUGGGCUGCAGCUCUGUUUGUCGACAAGUCCGCUUGUCGAAACGUUGGCUCGAGCGACACCCCGUGUUCACGAAUUUCUCACCUCUCCAAGCUUCCAUCUUCCCCUGAACCUUUUCAAUUUUAGUGAUUCUAUCACAUCCUCUGUAAUGGAGGUGAAGGUCAGGAUGUGUUUGAUUUACCAGAGGUGCGCUGCCAUAGGAAACGUUGUCUUUCUUCAUAAUUACCAGAGUGGGCUCGACUGUAUACUUAUAGCCAAAAAUUAGGGUACGUAUUGUGGAGGCUGCGAGUGCUUGGUCAUACAUUGUCUGCAGCUUCAAGAAUGCUUUUCUUAUGUGAACUGGUGUGAAAUUGUGCAAUAUUCAUUUAUAGCUAAUACGAGAUCGUCGUGUACUACACAAACGGCACUUUUGUAAGAACCAAUCUAGUAUAUAGUCAUUAAAAAAAUUGGCACAUUUAAUGUAAGCAUGCAUUGCCCUGCUAUAUCAGAAAGAAGAAAGCUGUACUUCUCAACAAGUUGCUUCGGUUUAGAUGCUGCAUCCUGAGAAUGAAAUUAUUCAUAUAUUGCAUCCUUCCUGGCUGCUGUGGUAAGCUCUGGCAGCCAGUACUGAUGAGCAAACAUUCACUUACAAUGCAAAGAGACACUAAAGUGGCACAAUGUAUCAGUUUAUACUGAUAAAGCAGGCUUUGAAAACUGUAUUGUUAAUUUCCCCAUCAUAUGUUUAUUAGUGAAAAAGAAAACUAAGGUCAAAGUUUUAUUCUUAAAUUUUGCACCAAAAUCUACACAUGUAUGUCAGCAAAGUGUCGUGGAUUUCAAAGUGUUCUUUCGUAUUUUGGUCGCAUUGGCUCAACGAAAUUUCCCGAACCUUGGUAUGUUUAGUGCAUGGCCCCCUCAGAGGACCAUGUACUUGAUUUUUACCAAGUAAGAACUACGUAGGCCCUAGUAGAGACUGUCAAAAUUUGUCAUGGCGAUUGGUGCAGGAACUUCAAGGUGACAUCGCCACCUGCAUUUUAUUUCUGUGCGCUUUCUCGCUUACCCAGCAUCUUCUUGCAGCAAGAGUGGUGAUUUGGUAUUGUUAAAGGGCAAUUUACCAAUACAAGAGAAAUAGUUUUUCCUCCUUAGUGUCCCUUUAAUUGCAUUACGCUUCAAUUGGCAUGUUGAGACGCUUGGUUUCUAGAAUGAGGAAAUGGUUUAGCACGGCCGUGUCGGCAGUUUGCUUUCUUUGUAGUGCGGGUGCAGUCAUGGCUGCAGUUGUGCAUAUAGCUGUACAUACAUCAUGCUCACUAACUGUUGAAUUCAAAUCACAUCUUGGGAACAAUAAGAGGCACAGAUGUGUGUCAUGUCAUCUAGCUCUCGGCUUUAAGACUGAGAAAUGUAAGUGUUUGAACAUGGUCGUAUUGCAAGCUCAGGCAAGUAUAACACACUUUGGAUGCCCUAUUAAGUGUUUAAGUUUUAUCGUUAUGCUUUCCAUAUGCUUUACUUGGUUAACACAUGAAUGCUGAAAAUAUGAAACAUAAUUGUAAAGUAGUACUCAGAUUAAGGCUGUUUGACAGAAUCAGAUUAAGGAUAUCUUUAUGGAAAUGCUCUCGUCAUCGCACACUGUGUAUCAUCGGGGACAACAUUUAAGUGCAGUGCUGAAUUAUGGUGGUGUAGUUUGUGGUGAGCAUUUUUGUCUAUCUGCAAGUAGCGCCUCCCAUUCUUCACUAAGUCAGCGCAAGAUUCUUUUCCCAAUCAAGAGCAGCUGAAAUGAGUAAUUAUGAAGGUUCCAGUUUCACCCCCAGCAUCAUUGAAAUUAACAGUGGUAUUUGCAUAUAUGUACCACUGCCUAGAUGAGAUUAGGGCUACUGAUUAUGCUAUGUGCUUACGUGGAUUCACACUUGCCUGUACGUCAACAAUUCGAUGUUUCUACUUACGUUACUCUGUCAUAAGAACAUGAAUGGCUUUGUUACUCAGUACGAUGUUCUUUUUCUUUUCUCUUCUUUUUGUUAAUAAUCUGUAUACUUUUAUGUGGAGGUGUAUCAAAGGAACUGUGCUUGCUUUCUUGUUCAGACUCAGUGUAGUCAGUUCCUUGGUGCCAUACUAGGAAACGGGGCUGAUAUAACGUACAGAUCAUUAUUCUUUCUUUUUUUGCUCUACUUCUCUCCUUUGCCAUCUGCCACUCGGAGCUGGAUAAUCGUUGUCAAUGAUGUCGCAACUUUUGCUCAGGCCACCAAGAAAACACAUAAAGGAGAAGAAUUGGAAUAGAAUUAUUGCACCGAUUUUGCUUAGAAUGAAUCUUAAAUCCACGUUUCCUAGCUCCUGGCUCCUUUGUUGACCAGUUCAUGCUCCAUGGCAGAAAUGAUUGGUAAGCUCUUGUUGACUCACGUAUUGUGAAGCAUUUCAAAUUAGGAUUGAAAAUUGAGCAAAUUGGUAUUGAUCCAUGGCAAAAAUAAGCAAACGUUACAAUUAAAACGAUUAAAUCAAUUAAAUGACCACAACUCCUCUCAAGCUUGGUUAUCAGCGAUUUAUGUAGUCUAAAAAGGAAAAUUAUUUAUUCUGGAGACCAUUUCAAGGCUGACUAACAUAGUUGUGGCUUAUGUUUUGUAUUCUGCAGGCCUCAACAAUGUCAUGCAUCUAUUGAUCUGGGUGGUGGCAAUCCGGGCUAAUUCAGCAGUGCACACAGAUGCAUGGUACUUAAGUGCGCUGUUUGCUUAUUUUUGCCAUGAAAUAUUAAAUUACUUAGUUGAAUUUGAAAUAGAGUAGCAUUUCUUGACCGGUUAAUGCAGGACCUUAGAUCAAAUAUUUCUGUGUUGUUAGAAUCAAGUGCUUGCAGAGGUUAGAGAACUGCUGUUCAUAAUUGCGAGAUUCAUGCGAGGCCUUGGAUCAAACAGGGAAACGUCAUUGUGUGUGUGGUGCCGAAAAUCACUGAGACAACAUCAAGCAUGGCACAGCAGCUGACAUUUUCUGCACCACUGCAACUUUGUUAUUGCUGGUGGUGCGUGUCAUAAGUACUCAUCGACUUGAGGGAAAAGGAGGGCCAAAACCAUGAAGCAUCACACUAAAGGAGUGUAGACACUAAGGUUGGACAGCAAGCUGACUACAGCAUGAGCUUUAAGAAAUGCUGUGAUGAAUUUUGACAGAGAACAGACAGCUUAAAUGUAAUUUAUUUAAAUUUAGGAGUUCAGAAAAAAAUAUGACAUUCUUGAAGAAUUUUCAACUAGGGCUUCUUGGAUCCGCUCAGAGUUGUUAAUAUGCAUGACCCCCUAAAAAUGCACUGCUGAAGCAGCGAUGUCAGCCAAUGUACCCCCGUGCAACACUGCAGUCAACAACAGUAAAUGCCCUGGGACUCCACAUGAUGUUGCUGCUACAUGAUACUUCUUCUUGUCAUCGCUCAGAGCUGUGCACCGUUUGGUGGGAAUUUUUUCUAAAUCAUGAAAUGCACCAUGUAAAUUGUCAGGGUACCGAGUAAUUAUCAGGGUCCCCAAUAAACGGCCUUCCACAUAAAAUAAUAAAAUUAUCAUAGCAGAUUUUGGCGUCUACACUCCUUUAACAUUGCAAGUAAAGUAUUGUGCUAUGUGCCGAGUAUGGCUGUUAAGAAAGAAGUGAAAACUGUGUUAAGACUACGAACGGUUGCGGUGGCCCUGGUAGUUCAGUUAACAAAGGUCUAAAAAAUACAUCGCUUUUUAUUUGUCUUAUAGAUUCUAGAACAAAGAUUUAAUGUUUUGCAAAAAGUUGUAUGUAUGGCAAUGGCAUGUUGCAUGUGUCAUCAAAUAUUUGUGCGCAGUGAGAACUUUUUUAGAAGGCUUGAGCACCCGUUGUUUGGCACUGCAGAAAGCAAGACUGGGCCAACAUUUCUUUUACUUCACUGCACUAACAUACUCACUUGUACAUGCACAUGACUCAGUAGCAAUUGUAUAUUUUGUUGCGACAAACUUCCAUACUCUCUUUCAAAAGACAUAUCACAAACACUAUAAGCUUGCUUGCACAUUAGAAGACACCUUGCUUGAAUUGUGUCGCCAGCGUGCAACUAGUCAUUAAUUUUCUACUGGAGACAUUCUUUGGUUCUGUUGAAACGUGUGUUGCCAUCAUUGAA